UGGAGACACGUGUAACAUUAGUCAACGUCUCCGUCGAUUGCAGUCUCAUUGAAGACUUUUCGGCCGAAACCUUGACUAACUUUGUACGUGUUUUCACC
rnacentral:pre_miRNA from 1 species